UGGGGAAUAUUGCACAAUGGGGGAAACCCUGAUGCAGCGACGCCGCGUGAGCGAAGAAGGCUUUCGAGUCGUAAAGCUCUGUCCUAUGAGAAGAUAAUGACGGUAUCAUAGGAGGGAGCCCUGGCUAAAUACGUGCCAGCAGCCGCGGUAAUACGUAUGGGGCGAGCGUUGUCCGGAAUUAUUGGGCGUAAAGGGUACGUAGGCGGUUUUUUAAGUCAGGUGUCAAAGCGUGGAGCUUAACUCCAUUAAGCACUUGAAACUGAAAGACUUGAGUGAAGGAGAGGAAAGUGGAAUUCCUAGUGUAGCGGUGAAAUGCGUAGAUAUUAGGAGGAAUACCGGUGGCGAAGGCGACUUUCUGGACUUUUACUGACGCUCAGGUACGAAAGCGUGGGGAGCAAACAGG
rnacentral:rRNA from 1 species